UACGGAGGGGGCUAGCGUUGUUCGGAAUUACUGGGCUUAAAGCGCGCGUAGGCGGACCUGCAAGUCGGGGGUGAAAGCCCGAGGCUCAACCUCGGAACUGCCUUCGAUACUGCGGGUCUCGAGUCCGGGAGAGGUGAGUGGAAUUCCUAGUGUAGAGGUGAAAUUCGUAGAUAUUAGGAAGAACACCAGUGGCGAAGGCGGCACACUGGCCCGGUACUGACGCUGAGGCGCGAAAGCGAGGGGAGCAAACAGG
rnacentral:rRNA from 1 species